GUCAAAUUUUUAAAGUUUUCUUGAACUAAAUUACUCAAAAAUUCACUAGACUCACAAUUUUCUUUUAACUACAUCGUGCUUUUAACAAAACUACACAAAGUAUUUAUUCCACAUAGCUUGGUAGAACUGGAAAUUUGAGAAUAUGAAUCAAUACAAAAAAUACUGGCUUUGGUCAUCGACCAUCGUAAUUCCAAAACUAAAAGUUUUAGAGCAAAACGAUUUGUUCAGGCGAAUUUUCUGAUAGUUUAGCAUAAUACAAUGCAUUUUUUUUUAUUUUAUGCCCUGGAUAAAGGUAACAGACGAUUGUAAGAGUGGCCGACUGAGUUUUUUAAAGUGCAAAAAUUACCAUCUACUUCGAUUAAAAGAUCUUCGAUUCCAAAAAACAUCUUCACUGAUAGUGUCAAAAUAAGGAUGUGAAUAAAAACAAGAAAAACUUAUAAAAUGUGUUUAUUUUUACAAAUUAAGCCGAUAAAACGCACGCUCCUCCAACAGCUUUGAUUUUUUCUUCAGCGGAUUUGGAGAAGAAUUUAGCUUUAACGAUGACGGGUUGUUUAGGAAGGCGCC